rnacentral:misc_RNA from 1 species
GAUGAAGAACGUAGCGAAAUGCGAUAAGUAGUGUGAAUUGCAGAAUUCAGUGAAUCAUCGAAUCUUUGAACGCACAUUGCGCCCCUUGGUAUCCCGAGGGGUAUGCCUGUUCGAGCGUCAUUUCACCACUCAAGCCUGGCUUGGUGUUGGGCGACGUCCCCUUUGGGGACGCGCCUCGAAACGCUCGGCGGCGUGGCACCGGCUUUAAGCGUAGCAGAAUCUUUCGCUUUGGAAGUCGGGGCCCCGUCUGCCGGAAGACCUACUCGCAAGGUUGACCUCGGAUCAGGCAGGGAUACCCGCUGAACUUAAGCAUAUCAAUAAGCGGAGGA